rnacentral:rRNA from 1 species
GAUGAACGCUGGCGGCGUGCCUAAUACAUGCAAGUCGAGCGAACAGACGAGGAGCUUGCUCCUCUGACGUUAGCGGCGGACGGGUGAGUAACACGUGGAUAACCUACCUAUAAGACUGGGAUAACUUCGGGAAACCGGAGCUAAUACCGGAUAAUAUAUUGAACCGCAUGGUUCAAUAGUGAAAGACGGUUUUGCUGUCACUUAUAGAUGGAUCCGCGCCGCAUUAGCUAGUUGGUAAGGUAACGGCUUACCAAGGCAACGAUGCGUAGCCGACCUGAGAGGGUGAUCGGCCACACUGGAACUGAGACACGGUCCAGACUCCUACGGGAGGCAGCAGUAGGGAAUCUUCCGCAAUGGGCGAAAGCCCGACGGAGCAACGCCGCGUGAGUGAUGAAGGUCUUCGGAUCGUAAAACUCUGUUAUUAGGGAAGAACAAAUGUGUAAGUAACUAUGCACGUCUUGACGGUACCUAAUCAGAAAGCCACGGCUAACUACGUA